rnacentral:tRNA from 1 species
AAAUUUAUUUAUUAAUAUCUUAAAAACCAUACUUAAAUUGUAGAUCGAAAUCUACAUUUU